ensembl:lncRNA
ACCUCCACGUGACUGUCUCUCCUGCAGUGGUCAUGUUCCCACGUCAUAAUUCCAGGAGACGUUGUAGUCCGGGCGUCUGAGCAGUUGGCCGCCCUGUUGCAUCGUCCAAGGGUCUGUUGGUCUAUGUCGAUUCUUUGCUAUUGAUUCCAACCUGAUUGGCUUCUGCAUCUGUCAUCUGCAGCAGGUCCCCGCCCUCUCCCCUGGUAAAUCCAACCAACGGGGGGCUCUGAGUCAGUCAUCCGUACGCUCAUGACGCAGUGACGUCUGUCAGAAUCUAUUCCAAAGGUUCUUUGAUUCCACCUCUUUUAGCUGAGAUGCACCACAGCAUGGCUGGUAGAAAGGGGUUGGAGGGGGUUCAGUGUAGUCAGGUGAUAUGGGGAUGGGGGUUGGAGGGGAGUCAGGUGACAUGGUGAUGGGGAAGGGGUUGGAGGGGGUCAGG